rnacentral:rRNA from 1 species
UACAGAGGUCUCAACCGUUGUUCGGAUUCAUUGGGCGUAAAGGGUGCGUAGGCGGUCGGGUAAGUCGGAUGUGAAAUCCCAGGGCUCAACCCUGGAACUGCAUUCGAUACUGCCUGGCUAGGGUACUGGAGAGGAGACUGGAAUUUACGGUGUAGCAGCGAAAUGCGUAGAUAUCGUAAGGAAGACCAGUGGCGAAGGCGAGUCUCUGGACAGUUACCGACGCUGAGGCACGAAGGUCAGGGGAGCAAACGGG